UACGGGGGGGAGCAAGCGUUGUUCGGAUUUACUGGGCGUAAAGGGCGCGUAGGCGGUCGUGACAAGUCACUUGUGAAAUCUCCGGGCUUAACUCGGAACGGUCAAGUGAUACUGUCGUGCUAGAGUACAGAAGGGGCAACUGGAAUUCUCGGUGUAGCGGUGAAAUGCGUAGAUAUCGAGAGGAACACCUGCGGCGAAGGCGGGUUGCUGGGCUGAUACUGACGCUGAGGCGCGAAAAGCUAGGGGGAGCAAACGGG
rnacentral:rRNA from 1 species